rnacentral:tRNA from 1 species
CAGAAUUUAAUUUAAUAUUGUUUUCAUUUACAUUGAAAAAUUUCUUGUGCGAUUCUAGAUGUUCUGA